AAUUUUGAAACCUUCUUUUGCUUCAUAUUCUAGUCGUUGGUUUAUGGUGCCUAAGAAAAAUGGAUCGUUAUGUUUUAUUCAAGAUAUACAGCCAAUGAAUGUAGUAACUAUAAGAAAUGCAGGUAUAGGAUCUUUAAUAGAUGAGUUUGCUGAAGCGUUUGGGGGAAGGGCAAUUUAU
rnacentral:pre_miRNA from 1 species